rnacentral:lncRNA from 1 species
UCUCCCCCCAGCCCCGGGAGCCGCUUCCAUCCCCCGUGGAGCGUGGGGCCGACAGCCAGCCACCCUCAGCACUCCCUCCGUCAGCGACGUCGGGAAAGAGCUUCCUCCCUGCUGUCCCUGUGGCCUCCAAGAUAAAACCCAGCCUCAGUUUCCACGCAGACGAGAACACACUCCACGUGCCUGAAGUGAGCUUCACCUUCCCCAGCGCUGUGUGGCAGAGUGGCGCGAGCCCCAGCCGGGCGCCCCUCCUGCCCCGGGACAUCCGAGGGUCCACAGACAGCGGAGGCCAACGCCACAGUCCACUGCCACCUGGCCACCCCCGCAGGCACCAGGGCGGCAGCGCCAAGAGGCCAAGGAGACCCAGGUAGGAGGACAGCAGAGAG